GGCUAAUUUCGCUCUCCCAGCUGCAGACCCCAAGAGCUCAGAGCGCUCCAUCCCGGCCCUUCUGGAAGGAGCUCAUCUGGGGAAAGGGCCACGUCUCUGGGGCAGCGGGUCACCUCUCCAAAGUGCUCAGAAGUGUUCGAUUGCUCCCUGGGGACACCAGCUUCCCCUGCUAAGUGUCACAGGGCCCCAAAGGGCCCAUGCCACUCUAGCAACAAGUUUGCCGAAAUGCCCACAGCUGCACGCUGAGGUCCUCGGCUUCCGUCUCAGACCUGUGGGAAUCCAGCAUGGAGAGGCUGCAUGGUCUGUGGGCUGCACAGCUGCAGCCUCUCUGUGAAACCCGCACCACGCUCAUGGAUCACAGGGUCAGACCCCGGGCCCUCGACCUCGGCUCCCACUGCCCCCUCCUCGUCCGCUGUGCUCUGUCAACACCCCACGCCUCCCGUCUCCUGCCAGGGGUUUAGGGCCUAUCCUCACCGCUGCCAGGAAGGGUCCAUCCUGGACUUUAAGUGUCUGGCUGCUUCUCAGCAUUCGUAUCUCAAAUAGGCUUUCUCUGACCACCCGCCCCUUUCACACCGCGCACACAAGAACGUGGUACCACUAGAAUGACACUCCAAGCAGAUGCCUUGGGAUCCUCAAACAGAUUCUGGAUGCACUUGGAGUUUCACACAUCACCUGUGUCAGAGCUAAGGAUGGAGCCUCAUCCGCAGAUCCGCGGUGCGGGCGGGCAGACGGCCGCUUCGCUGCCCCUCAGCUGUGAGAGGUGCCAAUGGCCCUCACCGCCUGGAACAGUGCUGCAGGAACCCCAACGUCCCCACCCCAGCCCUGAUGGCCACUCUGGGGCUCCCACGCUGACCCCUGGAACAGGCCUUGCUCCGGUAGAUCCGGGCCCCUUGUCUGGUGGGUGACGGAUGCUCUGGGCUUUGGGGUCAAUGGCAGGAGGCAGAGCCCUCUGUGGCACUCGCGGCACGGGUCCCUGUGCACCAGCGCUGGUGUCCACCAUUGUGGCCACUGCCUAUGGGGACCACAGGAUUCAACCUCUGACCCCCUCCUUCAGGCCCCUUCCCAGGAUCCCCUGCCCAGGCUUCUGGGGUGGAGGCUGCUGGACAGGGACUCUGCCUCGCCCAGGGCCCCAGCCCCCGCCAAGGGUGGCAGAGACCAAUAUCUUACCCCAUCUAUACCAGUGGCCCCUUAACAGGUGCCUGUCUUCCCUGGGAUCCCAACUAUUGGCUGCUCCGCACCUUCCCUUCUCCAGCAGGUUUGAGGAGACCCGUGGAUCUGCAGGACGUCGGCUUCGAUUCAGCCUUCAAUGGGCUGCUGGCUCUCGACAUCUCAGAAACGGAGAUGCAAGAUUUCACAACAGCUCCACCCAUAAUAUGACGGUCUCAUCACAGACUGAAAACAGAUGCAGGGAAUCCACCCAGCGGAUGAUCGAGUCCAGGACCUCCAGCCAGCUGGGGCCAGGCAGGAGUCCCGGUUCUCCUGACUCCUUUUGCUCUGAUGGCCAGCUCCACGGACUGUAUGUGAAAUCUGAAGCAUUCGGUAGCGAUCUAAUGAAAUGUUAAC
rnacentral:lncRNA from 1 species